GGAGCAUCUGUGACGUGUUCCCUCUAGAUUCAUCCUUGCACUUUGAGGUAAGGUUACCACUUCCCAGUGAAGAAAGCAUCGGGGAUAGUUUUCUGAGAUGCUC